GCCGUUAGUCGAGCUUCAAGUCAUCGAAAUCAGAAGUGGAGGAUAAGGCGGACGGAUCGAGAGAAGGAGAUGGUCAAAGGGGAGAGAGACAGUCGCAGCAGUACGAUCGAUACGAUAGAGGAAGGACAGGGCUUGAUUGAAGACGAUUGAGACGGCGGCGGCAAUCGAAGAUGAAGGAGAAGAGAGGAUAAUUGGGCAGGAAUGGAUUGCACUGGCCAAUAGAGGAGAAGUAUAGCAUGGUGGGGGGCUUGAUUGUGGGUUGG
rnacentral:lncRNA from 1 species